rnacentral:rRNA from 1 species
AAGGAUGAAAAUCGGACUUAGUGAUCCGGUGGUUCUGCGUGGAAGGGCCAUCGCUCAACGGAUAAAAGCUACCCUGGGGAUAACAGGCUUAUCUCCCCCAAGAGUCCACAUCGACGGGGAGGUUUGGCACCUCGAUGUCGGCUCAUCACAUCCUGGGGCUGUAGUAGGUCCCAAGGGUUGGGCUGUUCGCCCAUUAAAGUGGUACGCGAGCUGGGUUCAGAACGUCGUGAGACAGUUCGGUCCCUAUCCGUCGCAGGCGUAGGAAAUUUGAGAAGACCUGUCCUUAGUACGAGAGGACCGGGAUGGACGUAUCUCUGGUGUACCAGUUGUCCUGCCAAGGGCAUGGCUGGGUAGCUAUGUACGGAAUGGAUAAGCGCUGAAAGCAUCUAAGCGCGAAGCCAACUUCAAGAUAAGAUUUCCCACCGCAAGGGUAAGACCCCAGAAAGACUAUCUGGUUGAUAGGUCGAAGGUGUAAGUGCAGCAAUGUAUUUAGCUUAUCGAUACUAAUAGGUCGAGGACUUGACCAAU